GGUGCAAAAAAGCGUCUGCAGCGCAGGACUGAGGCGUCAAUGUCUGAUCUGUUAACAACAAACAUAUUGCUGGAAAACGCUUCAGUGCUGAAGUUCAAAGUUUCAUAAUCCAUCGCUAAUUUCUGAAACUAAGAUCUGACUAUUUAUGAUAAGAUGCAUUUAAAAUUAAAUGUGAAGCAUGGGCUUGUGCCUCACUGGGGAUCUUUGUGACUGUGCAGUGAUCAAACUCCUGUUUCCAGGCACGAUCUGUAUCAGUGCUCCAGUCUGAAUAUGUGGAUCGCUGUUCUGUGAAUAUUUCGUUUUCACUUGUAUUGCUGCUAAAUUUAAUCUUUUUUGAUGUUUUUUUUUUUUUUUUGCCUUAAAGAUCAGAAACUUGCAGUUAACAUGAGUGCGUUAUGUGUUGGGAUGAGGCUUUACAGCAGUUGAAAGCUUACAGCCUUAUUACAAUCAGGAAUAAAAAGUUUAUCAAAAUUGCAUUUCUUUUUAUUUUAUUAAAACGUGACAGUGAACAUUAAAUAUCCUGGAUAUAUGUCAGAUUUUGCCAUGCAGUUCAUUUUCACUGCACCGGGUUGUUGUAUUUUAAUUAUUUUGGAAAUUAUCCAUGACUGAAAAUGUUUUUAUUGACUUAAACAAAAAAGGAAAAAUGAAAGGAAAACACUUGCUGUAGUACUACGGUGUACCCCCAGAGGUACCAUUAUUCCCAUUUUAAACUAUAAAACUAUAUACAAAGUGGUUAGAGCAGUAAAGCCUCCUUAUACAAUCUAAAUGAUACAAAUCAGGUUUUCCUGUCAUAAUUUCUGUCUGUUUUGUUCAUUUUAUGUCCUUUUCUUGCAGGAUAUUUAAAGCAGCAUCGUUUCAGUUUUGGUCCUUUAACAAAGUCUUAAUGUCACUCUUGUUACUGCAGCUCACACACAGAAAGGGAAGCGCAGUCAUGCUGGAGUUAGAUGACAGAGGAACAAUUAUCCCUCUAAUUCUCAUGUCGAUACAGUUAUGUCUUACGUGGUCGAUGGACGUGUCGUUGUUAUUCCUGAUCAAUACUGAGACACUUCAUAACACAUCUGAGGUGUGAUAGAAGCUGAUAUGCUGCGUGACACCUUCUGAUCCCCAUUUAGCUAUGAUUGCAGGCGUUGGCGUAAAUCUGUUUGGCUGGUUAUGGAUUAGCUACUUUGGCCCUGAAGUGGCUGCAGUCGAUGAUGUGAUUAAAUCAAUGAUCAUCUCUGCGAAAGCUCUUUGAUUCGUUCUCGUUUGGCUGCACAGCAGAACAGACCAGGGUGUCUCGGCAGCAAAGGGAUAAUUUACACAGGCUGCAUGUCAAAGACGUGACACGUUCACUGUCCACAAACAAGCCUGGAAAAUGCAUUAUUGCCUCUUCAAGGAUUGUAAAUUGUGGAUUAUGUUGAAAAACAAGAAGAGUUGGAAAGAAUAAAAUCGUGCGCACAUUAAACUUUGACUGCUCAGAACGUGUGUGACAAAAUCAAAAUCAAGGUCCACUUACUGGGAUUCUCACAGUACAAUAUAUUAGCAUUUACCUUGCUGAGGACUUGCAUGUUUCCUUUUUUUGUAUCGUUGGAUAUUUGUGUUUAUAAUUUUGAUGGACAGGAUAUUUUGGGAUGGAGGGGUUCUGUUGUUUUGUUUGAUUUAGUUUUGCAGAAAGUAAUUUUUCUAGUCUUAUUUAAAAUUAUUUUCAUUUUAAAUUAAAGACUUAAGGGGAUUUUUUAUUGAGAAUUUUAAAGGUUUUUUUUUUUUUAAUUGAUUUUAUCUUUACAUUUUUUUAAAUGUAUUUAGUAUUUUUUUGAAAGAAUGAUUACAAUUUUUUUUUAUAGAUUUUUACCAUGUUCUCUUUAAAUAUAGUCUGUAAUCUAAAGUGUAAAGACACUCUGUGUAUUUUACCUGCUGUGACUAUUUAAUUAACCAACAUUCUUCUCUUACAUAAACUUAGUAAUUAAUCUUUUUUGUUUCUUUUUUUUCUUUUUUUAAAUUUGUUGUAAAACUUUUAUUGCACAUUGGACAAAAUGAGCUGUGCUGCCACUCUGCCUCGGUUAUGUCUAGACUACCGGAAAUGCAAAAUUGCAUCUGCUUACAGCCACUAGGAGCUCUAAAAGAGUUGCUGUUGGGAGGACAGCAGAGAGCUGCAGAGGCUGCAGCGAGCAGGGAAGGUUUGUCUGCAGGCAGCUGCUGAAGCUCGGCCCAGGAUGUGCUGUAAAACUGUUGUAAAGACUGGGCUCUCUUUACUGUUUGCAUUGCAUGACAUUUGUUUUUCUCUUUCCCCACUCCUCCUGUUGUCCCCUCCCCUUGCCUCUCUCUUUGAAAAGGCUGUUUGACGCACAUGCUGCCAUUUUGCGACAUGGUUUUGCUGUGAGAGGAAAAAGGGUGUGUGGCAUGUAUAGAAACAGAAGCAUUUACGGGGUUUAAAUACCACUGUUGUGAGAAAAUUCGACUCUCUUUCUCCCUUUCCUUUUC
ensembl:lncRNA